GAUGAACGCUGGCGGCGUGCCUAAUACAUGCAAGUCGAGCGAACGGACGAGAAGCUUGCUUCUCUGAUGUUAGCGGCGGACGGGUGAGUAACACGUGGAUAACCUACCUAUAAGACUGGGAUAACUUCGGGAAACCGUAGCUAAUACCGGCUAAUAUUUUGAACCGCAUGGUUCAAAAGUGAAAGACGGUCUUGCUGUCACUUAUAGAUGGAUCCGCGCUGCAUUAGCUAGUUGGUAAGGUAACGGCUUACCAAGGCAACGAUGCAUAGCCGACCUGAGAGGGUGAUCGGCCACACUGGAACUGAGACACGGUCCAGACUCCUACGGGAGGCAGCGGUAGGGAAUCUUCCGCAAUGGGCGAAAGCCUGACGGAGCAACGCCGCGUGAGUGAUGAAGGUCUUCGGAUCGUAAAACUCUGUUAUUAGGGAAGAACAUAUGUGUAAGUAACUGUGCACAUCUUGACGGUACCUAAUCAGAAAGCCACGGCUAACUACGUG
rnacentral:rRNA from 1 species